rnacentral:rRNA from 1 species
CAGUAGCCGCGGGAAUACAGAGGGUGCAAGCGUUAAUCGGAAUUACUGGGCGUAAAGCGCGCGUAGGUGGUUUGUUAAGUUGAAUGUGAAAUCCCCGGGCUCAACCUGGGAACUGCAUCCAAAACUGGCAAGCUAGAGUAGGGCAGAGGGUGGUGGAAUUUCCUGUGUAGCGGUGAAAUGCGUAGAUAUAGGAAGGAACACCAGUGGCGAAGGCGACCACCUGGGCUCAUACUGACACUGAGGUGCGAAAGCGUGGGGAGCAAACAGGAUUAGAUACCCCCGUAGUCCCUGUCUCUUAUAC